AGGUGUGUGGUUAAUAAACCAGGUCUAAAUAUUUCCAGGCUACUGGUGGGUCAGGCACGCACUGACAGCAAUGUUGUGGAUGGUGAUACUGGCUUUGAACAUGGAAGAAAACAAGGUCUGGUCUCCUUUUUUCACCCAGACGGUGUCGACGAGCUGACCUAGGAGAUAACAGGACAGAUAUAGAAACCAAAGCUGAGAGCGGGAGAUAACUAUCCCAAAAGCACCACGUCGGUGGGGAGCUGGGUUGCCAGAGAAAACACAGGACAUCCAGUGAAGUCAGGUGCCUCCUGACCCAGAAGACCCCCAUGAGCCCAGAUCCCUGAGACCUGGUGGCUGCCAUUAUGACAUUCCCCGACUGCAUCUUAGGACCCAAGUCUGACCCCCUGCAGGAUCUGCAGCUGUGUUACAGGAAAGGGGACCCGAUCCAGACCCCAAGGGAGGGUUCUUGAAUCUCGUGCAAGAAACAACUCGGGAUGCAGUUGCUGUGGUUCACACACCUCUGGCAGCUGGGCUCCUUGGGAUCUCCUGACAUUCUGUGCCCUCUGUGCCCUCCUCCCUCACUGCCAUCGCUGUCUUCCUGAGCCUCCUCCUUCUGAAUUUCUUCAUCACCAAGAAGAGGAAUCGCUGUUAGGUUUGGCUUUUGGGAAAGGGAUGGACCAGGCAGGCAGUAGGGAGGGAGACACAGGCCCUGGCAUGGGCGAUGGGGAGGGGAGAGCUGAGUGGGAGCCGGUGGGUCUGUCUUUGUUCUUGUCUCUGUGAGUUGCCCAUUGUGCAGAUCUGCCCCGCUCCUUCCCCAUCGCAAUGGAUGGGGACUCCUCUCUCUAGUGUUCAGGCCCCGGGCCCUGGGUC